rnacentral:rRNA from 1 species
CCGGGGCGCGCCCCGGGCGGGGCGGGGGCACGGGGGGAACGCGAAGAACCUUACCUACUCUUGACAUCCAGCGAAUCCUUUAGAGAUAGAGGAGUGCCUUCGGGAACGCUGAGACAGGUGCUGCAUGGCUGUCGUCAGCUCGUGUUGUGAAAUGUUGGGUUAAGUCCCGCAACGAGCGCAACCCUUAUCCUUUGUUGCCAGCACGUAAUGGUGGGAACUCAAAGGAGACUGCCGGUGAUAAACCGGAGGAAGGUGGGGAUGACGUCAAGUCAUCAUGGCCCUUACGAGUAGGGCUACACACGUGCUACAAUGGCAGAUACAAAGAGAAGCGACCUCGCGAGAGCAAGCGGAACUACAUCUUCGUAGUCCGGAUUGGAGUCUGCAACUCGACUCCAUGAAGUCGGAAUCGC